UUCUCUAGCAAAAGACCGAAUUUACUAGGGA
rnacentral:piRNA from 1 species